GGAAGACCUUCUGUAUGCACUGACUUAAUAUCCAAGAAAAAUUACAGUUCUGCCACUGCUCGGGCAGGUUGGUUUCUGGGUUUAGGAGAGAAAAAAAAGCAAGCCAUGCCUGACAUUGUGAAAGCCGGUGACCCUGUUCUUCAUGAACCGUCUCAGGACAUUCCUCUUGAGGAGAUUGGGUCAGAACGAAUCCAAAAGAUUAUAGAGGAGAUGGUGAAGGUUAUGAGAAAUGCACCCGGAGUUGGUCUUGCCGCUCCUCAAAUUGGUAUUCCUUUGAAGAUAAUUGUGCUGGAAGACACAAAUGAGUACAUAAGCUAUGCUCCUAAAGAUGAAACCAAAGCACAGGACAGACGUCCAUUUGGUCUCCUGGUUAUUAUAAAUCCAAAGCUUAAAAAGAAGGGCAAUAAAACUGCAUUGUUUUUCGAGGGCUGCUUGAGUGUUGAUGGG
rnacentral:misc_RNA from 1 species